rnacentral:lncRNA from 1 species
AGCAAAGUCCAAGGUCAAGGUGCUGGUGGAUUUGAUGUCUGGUGAGGGAUCUCUUCCAGGUUUCCAGACAGCUGUCUUCUCAUUAUAUCCUAAUGGAUUUUCCUAGGCAUCCCUGCUGGCUUAGGUUCAUUUGCAUUGGCAUUCUCAAGCUCUUCCAUUAUAAUGCUGUAGGACGUCAGGGGAGAAGGUCUUCCCUCCGGCCGGCCGCGCCACACCGCCCUGUGAUGUGGUGAGCUUCGUGGGCUCUCUCUGCCUUCUAACACCUCAUUUAUAAUUGGAAACAUCAGCUCACUCUGAUGGAUAGUGGAUUUUUUACGAACUUCUGCAGAAAGGGCGAGUUGCUUUUUGG